AACGAACGCUGGCGGCAUGCCUAACACAUGCAAGUCGAACGGGCCCUUCGGGGCUAGUGGCGCACGGGUGCGUAACGCGUGGGAAUCUGCCCAAAGGUUCGGAAUAACUCGGGGAAACCCGAGCUAAUACCGGAUAAUGUCUUCGGACCAAAGAUUUAUUGCCUUUGGAUGAGCCCGCGUCGGAUUAGCUAGUUGGUGAGGUAAAGGCUCACCAAGGCGACGAUCCGUAGCUGGUCUGAGAGGAUGAUCAGCCACACUGGGACUGAGACACGGCCCAGACUCCUACGGGAGGCAGCAGUGGGGAAUAUUGGACAAUGGGCGAAAGCCUGAUCCAGCAAUGCCGCGUGAGUGAUGAAGGCCUUAGGGUUGUAAAGCUCUUUUACCCGGGAUGAUAAUGACAGUACCGGGAGAAUAAGCUCCGGCUAACUCCGUGCCAGCAGCCGCGGUAAUACGGAGGAGCUAGCGUUGUUCGGAAUUACUGGGCGUAAAGCGCGCGUAGGCGGCGUUU
rnacentral:rRNA from 1 species